UUCACUCUCUUUCCAUUCUCAGCCAAGGAAAACAAGUCAUCCAAUCGCCCACGCGCACCCGCCCCACCAGCCACGACCGACCCGCAAACCCUAGCCGCCUCGACCUCCGCCUCCGCUUCAGCAAUGGUCGGCGCCUUUGCGGCUCGACGGCGCUGCUGGAUACCCCUCCCGCGCGCUGGCCUGUGCUGCACCGCACAACCGGAAGCCCGGCGGCCGGCAGGACCAUGCAGGGGCAUGUCGUGGGUCGCCCCGGCCGGCAGAAGCUCACCCCCGCAUCCUUGCUCUGCAGCAAAUCUCGGUCUCGUCCACACUCGCAGUUACCCCCAUCAAAGGAUGAACUUUUCCAUGUGGUUGCUCUAACGGGGUUCUCCCCGUCGCUGCGAUUGCUGUUAGGUGUGACUCUCCAUGAAUGCACCGGCAGCAUCCUUGGGCCAGCCUCUGGUCAAGAGGAGAGAUCCAGAUGAACAUAUGUUAAGGCACAACAGGCUAACGAGAGGCAGUUGAUAGAUCACUAUGGAUCAAAGCAUCCCAGGGAGAAACCUCCAGGUCCAUCAAAUGCAGACUGACUGAUGCGAAGUGGAAGCGUGAGCUGUAGUUGACUGUUUCUGAGGGUGUUCAAUCUGCUCCAUACUUGGAUGACUCAGCUUCAGCUUUUCCCAUUGUAAUGUAUGCAUUUCCGUGUCCACUCAGAUUGUUCUAUUAUCUCUUUGAUAUGAAUUACUUGCAGAGAAAUUCUUGCAUGGCGUGAAAUACAACCAUGGGGUGUUCAAUUGCCAUCUUUGAUUAGGCUGGGGAUUCUUUUACAGGAUGCAGGUUUUGUACCAUAUGAUCAUUGAGUUGCAUAUGAAUAUAUGAUUUCCCCUUUUGACAUGGGCAUGUGCCAUGUAGUAUAACAUUUACAAAGAAUGACAUGGAAAUUGCAAGUAAAUGGUUACUCUACCCUAUUGCUUCUUUAGGACUGAGACAUGGUGAUAAGAAUCUAGAGAUGCGUACUCCUCUGUCACAAUAAGAUCAAGUCGCCUGUCAUAUUGUUGAUUCUUGUACAGAUUAAAUUGUGAGCAAUUAGGACACAUACCCUUCUUCUUGCCAUAUUGUUGAUUCUCUUACAGAUCCACCUCCCAUGUUGCCGGCAAGGGUCUGUAUGCAUUAGUGGUUUAGUAUGGUGUUCUAAAGAAGACCGCCCCACUUUGUGGCCACUGCAGCUGUUAAUAGGGAGGCCACCCAUCAGUGUCACUAAAUGCUGUGGCAAUAUCCUCUUCUUUUCUUCACUUCGGGGAUGGCCGCAGUUCUACCCCUGACGCCGCUGCACGUAAGCGGGAUGUAAUUGUCUCGUUGACUCUGCACUGAAAUUUGGAGGCCAAGGCAAUCAACAAACGAUGUAUCUAACUACAGGCACUCGACUUCAGAUGAGAGCGCUGGCUAUGUUUGAGUGCCAAGUCUUGUAGUAUCAGUGAAUGCAUUUAUAAUUUGGAGAGUCGGUGCUUACAACAGUAGUCCCAGGUUGGUUAAAUUGUAUAGCAUGAAGGUUAAGGUUAUUUGCAUAAAAAUAGAUUUGUCAAUAACCAUAUGGACUUUUUUUGACAGUACCAUAUGGAUGAGUUUGUCAUAAUGCCCGACCUUCAUUUUAGUGUGUUACAAUUCAUUCCUCUUUGAGAUGCAAAAUGUAGAAAGACAACUAAUUAUGUGCACGAUAUCCUAUACCUAUACAUUUUGAUUUUCUAUGCCAUGUUAGCAUUUGCUUAAUCAUGAACAAUCUUAGUGCAUAUGUUCCUUUCAGUCGAGACUCCAACUAACCUUUACUUUUGCUUAUUAUGCUUUUGAAUAUUAGAUAACUUUUACCAUUCUACGAUAUUUGAUAUGUGUUGGAGUAAUCAGUUUAGAAAAAAGUAGGAAUUUGGCUUUUACUUCUGCUAAUAUAAUAAUCAUAUUUUUGGUUUGUGGCGAAGACUCCAACUUACUAUUUUUUAUUUAUUUCUGAAAGUGUUUCCUUCUGAUUAUGUUUGCUGGAUAGAACAGAUUGUUCAAAGUGGUAACGUUUUCUGUUAGAGUUAAUGACCAGUUGGGUCCUUUUUUAAAACUAAGAAAGGUUUAAGACAGGGGCCCCCCUGUCCCCCAUUUUAUUCAAUAUUGCUAUUAAUUUCUUGCAAGAACUUGUAGAGCUAUUUCUCAAGGAGAGAUUAAAGGGGCAGUGCCUAAUUCAGUAGUAGGUCUAGCGAUGAUUUAACUGAGGCUGGAGAAAAAAAUGCUAGAAAUCUAAAAUCAAUUCUGAUUCUGUUUGAACAUUUAGCUGGUUUAAAAAUUACUUCUCGUAAGAGUGAUAUUUGUUGCUUUGGUGAAGCUGGGAAUGAUCUAGAAAGAUAUAAGGAGAUUUUUACUUGCAAUAUUGGAUCAUUGCCUCUUUAAAUAUUUAGGGAUUUCUGUAAAUACUGUUAAAUCUAGGAAUAAUGAUUGGAAUAAAGCUGAGAAUAUAACACGGAAAUCUAGCAAGGAAAUUUUCUAGACUAUGGUGGUAAAUUGAUUCUUACUUGACCCUGUCUGAGUAAUAUUCCCUUUAUGAUGUCAAUGAUUACUUUGCCCAUAGAGCCUUCUGAAUAAUUGAGUUUUUUAUGAGAAGGAUGUUGUGGCAGGAGGAUGACAGUUAGAUGGGCUGAUGUUUGUCCUAGGUGGCUUGGGGAUUGAAGACUUGCAAGUUAUGUACUGCCUCUCUAUCAAAAUAUGACAUUUUUGCAUUUCAAUUUGAACUGCAAAAACGUCUUAUAUUUUGGUAUGGAGGGAGUAUAUCUGUUGAUGGAUUUGGAUUAGAAACUCGAGAUGGUUUAUUGCAAGAGUUAAUUCAAAGAAAACACUGUAACAGGAAGUUGCUGAGUGACAUUCGCAUUGUUUUUCAUGGCUUGGUUAGUUGUAAAGAGUAUUUUGUAAGUAUUGUACUCCCUCUGUAAACUAAUAUAAGAGCAUUUAGAUCACUAUUUUAGUAUUCUAAACACUCUUAUAUUAGUUUAGAAAGCAAGAUUUUCAUGGUUCUGUAAGGACUGUUGUAGUGGCAGUAUUUGUAUUUGUAAGAAAUUUAUUGUAACAGGCAUGCUAAAGAUUUGGAUGGAA